GUGCUCACUUAGGCAGCACAUAUACUAAAAUUGGAAUAACACAGAGAAGAUUAGCAUGGACCCUGCACAAGGAUGACACACAAAUUUGGAAGCGUUCCAUAUUUUU